rnacentral:tRNA from 1 species
GCCGACAUAGUUUAAUCAAAACAUUAGAUUGUGAUUCUAAGGACAGGCGUUAGACCCGCCUUGUCGGCC